UAUCCCCCCCUGUGUGCCCUUGCCCUCCCCCACCGACUGCUAAACGCGAAGAACCUUACCAGCCCUUGACAUGGCAGGACGGUUUCCGGAGACGGAUUCCUUCACUUCGGUGACCUGCACACAGGUGCUGCAUGGCUGUCGUCAGCUCGUGUCGUGAGAUGUUGGGUUAAGUCCCGCAACGAGCGCAACCCUCGCCUUUAGUUGCCAUCAUUUAGUUGGGCACUCUAGAGGGACUGCCGGUGAUAAGCCGGAGGAAGGUGGGGAUGACGUCAAGUCAUCAUGGCCUUUAUGGCCAGGGCUACACACGUGCUACAAUGGCAGGUACAGAGGGAAGCCAACCAGCAAUGGGAGCCAAUCCCAGAAAGCCUGUCUUAGUCCGGAUUGCAGUCUGCAACUCGACUGCAUGAAGUUGGAAUCGCUAGUAAUCGCAGAUCAGCAUUGCUGCGGUGAAUACGUUCCCGGGUCUUGUACACACCG
rnacentral:rRNA from 1 species